AAACAUCUCCUAAUACGAAACUCCCCAAUCUCUAGAGGUAGUGACGCUGCGCUUCUAUGAUGGCAGUGAAAUUUCAAUAUUGUUAAUAUGAUGUAGAACACUACGAGUGCUGUACAUUAACGCAGACUGGAACUUGGAUAACUACUUACAGGAGUGUAUCACAAUACACGUCUGGGAGGGAGGGGGUUAAUGAGUACAUGCCUGUAUGGGGCGC